CGGACGGCGCCAGUUGUGUGAGCCGCGGAGAGUCAGAGAAGACUGGAUCUUCACUGGAGACUAGAAGUUAGCACCAUGCCUACAAAACGUCCACAUCUUCUGUCUAUUCCAAGGAUGUCCUCAUCAUCUCCAUUUUCUCCAUAGAUGUCCUCCUUCUUCUCCCUUACCUUGCUCACUUAAAAUUGCUUUGUUUAACAACUGGAUCUCUUCCUGGUAGCCAUCCCGCUCUUCAUGCUGCCGCCUGCUG